GGAAGCAGACCACAUCAAACAACUUUGUUUCUUCGAUCUCAUGCAAAGAGACAGAAUUACAUUUCUUCUGUUGAACAAAAGGGAUAUAUAUUUAUGGAUAUUGCUACCACAAGGCAUGAAUCAUGAAUAUGACCUUGUCGUACAGUUUGCUCAUGUGCACAUCAGCACAUACAUAUGUAACUAUCUAGAAGAACCAAGAAAGUAUAUAUUGGAUGCAUACAAAAAAAAAUUGAAGGGGAUUAAUCGCAAUGCGCAUGCACUUUAGCCGCUAGAGAAGUGUUUACAUACAUGCAUGCCAGAUUCUUUAGCUUUAUGGAUCACUUCUCAUUGAUGACGACGUCGUCGUCGUCGUUAAUCUCUCCAUGGAGCUUAGUAUCCUUGGAACUGAGGUGGUGGAGGUGAGGCGUACUGGUGCGCCAUCACCGGCGGUAAGAGUACAGUAGUGUCGAACGCCGGUGGAGCUUCAGCUUCCAUUGCUGGUGGAGGUUUAGAUUCCUUUGCAGGUGGAGCUUCAGCUUCCUUUGCUGGUGGCGGCAAUGACUCCUGUUUCGGUGGGGGGAGGGAGACCUGCGGAACUGGUGGGGGAAGAGGCUUCACCGCUGGUGGUGGUAGGCUGACUGGUGCUGGUGGGGGAAGAGGCUUCACCGCUGGUGGUGGUAGGCUGACUGGUGCUGGUGGGGGAAGUGACUUCACGACGGGUGGUGGUAGGCUGACCGGUGCUGGUGGGGGAAGCGACUUCACCGGUGGUGGUGGUAGGCUGACCGGUGCCGGUGGGGGAAGAGACUUCACCGCUGGUGGUGACAAGAUCACAGGUGCUGCUGGUGGUGGUGACUUCUCUGGAGGUGGUGGCGAGAUGACCGGUGCAGGUGGAGGUGGAGACUUCACAGGUGGGGGUGGCAAGAUGACUGGUGCGGGAGGAGGUGGAGACUUCACAGGUGGGGGUGGCGAGAUGACCGGUGCUGGUGGUGGUGGAGACUUCACAGGAGGAGGUGGCAAGAUAACUGGUGCUGGUGGUGGUGGGGACUUAACUGGAGGAGGUGGCGAGAUGACUGGAGCCGGUGGGGGAGGAGAUUUAAUUGGAGGAGGCGGCAAGAUCACCGGAGCUGGCGGGGGUGGAGACUUCUCCGGAGGUGGCGGUGAGCUCACAGGAACCGGUGGGGGCAAAGGCUUAACUGUUGGAGGCGGCAAGCUCACUGUAGCCGGUGGAGGAAGAGACUUCUCAGUUGGUGGAGAUGAAGCCUUGGGGACUGAGGGAGGAGAUGAUUCCUCAGGAGUUGAUGGCGGGUAAGACUUCUCUGGUGUUUCUGGCGGGCUAAUUGGUUCAUGUGGAGGUGAAGACUUUGCUGGCGGUGGUUCCGAGGUCACUGGCACUUGCGGCGGUGAAGACUUUGUUGGUGGUGGUUCUGAGAUAACCGGUGCGUGUGGUGGUGAAGACUUCACUGGUGGAAGUACUGACUCAACUGGAGAUGGCGGUGGCUGGGACUUCUCGGCUGGUGGUGGACUUGAUUUCACUGGAGAUGGAGGCAUGUACUCUUCUUCCGAUGGUGGAGAACUAUUUAUUGUUGGUGUGUGUGGUGGUAGUGGCUUUUCUGGAGGUGGAGUUGAUUUCGCCGGAGAUGGAGGAACGUACUCCUCGUGAGAUGGUGGAGAGCUCUUUGGUGUUGGUGACGGUGGUGGUUCUGACUCCUCAGAUGGUGGGGAUGAGCUCUCCGGAGUAUGUGAUGGUGGGGACUUCUCUUCUGGAGGUGGAGUUGAUUUUGCCGGAGAUGGAGGAACGUACUCCUCGUGAGAUGGUGGAGAGCUCUUUGGUGUUGGUGUCGGUGGUGGUUCUGACUCCUUAGAUGGUGGGGAUGAGCUCUCCGGAGUAUGUGAUGGUGGGGACUUCCCUUCCGGAGGUGGAGAGAUCUCCGGUGUUAGCGUUGGUGGAGACUUUGUCUCUGGUGGUGGUGGAGACUUUUCAGGUGGUGGUGGUGAACUAACAUGAGCUUCUGGUGGUGGCGAGGAAGAUUUUUCUGGUGGUGGUGAGCUAACAUGAGCUUCUGGUGGUGGUGAGGAAGAUUUCACUGGGGAUGGUGGAGUGCCUUCAUGACCCGAUGGUGGUGAUGGAGAUUUUUCCGGAGUUGGCGGAGAACUCUCUUCAGCUGGUGUUGGAGGUGACUUCUCCGAGGGAGGUGGAGAAGUUGGGUGAGCCUCUGAUGGUGGUGACUUUUCUGGGGAAUGUGGUGGAGGAGACUUCUCUUCUGGUGGCGAUGACUUUGGUGGGGAAGGUGUGUAUUCCUCUGGAGUUGGAGGUGAUGUAUGCGAGGUCGGCGGUAUAGGAGGAGACUUCUCUUCUGGUGGUGAUGACUUUGGUGGGGAAGGUGUGUGGCCCUCCGGAGCGGGUGGUGGUGGAGAUGAGGCUUCCGACUCAGGCGUGGGAGGAGACUUCUCAACUGGUGGCGUCGACUUUGGCGGGGAAGGCAUGUGGCCCUCUGGAGCGGGUGGUGGUGGAGAGGAGGAUUCCGACUCAGGUGUAGGAGGAGACUUCUCAGUUGGCGGUGUCGACUUUGGCGGGGAAGGUGUGUGGCCCUCUGGAGUGGGUGGUGGUGGAGAUGAGGCUUUCGACUCGGGUGUAGGAGGAGAUUUCUCAGAUGGUGGUGUCGACUCUGGCGGGGAAGGUGUGUGGCCCUCUGGAGCGGGUGGUGGUGGAGAUGAGGCUUUCGACUCAGGUGUAGGAGGAGACUUCUCAGCUGGUGGUGUCGAUUUUGGCGGGGAAGGUGUGUAUUCUUCUGGAGUCGGUGGAGGCGAGGCUUUUGACUCAGGUGUAGGAGGAGACUCCCCAGCAGGUGGUCCCGACUUUGGUGGGGAAGGUGUGUGGCCCUCUGGUACCGGUGGUGGCGAGUGCGAGGCCGUCGGCGUAGGAGGGGACUUCCCUUCAGGUGGUGGCGAGCUCUCUGGAGUUGCAGGUGGGGAGUACUCAGUAGGAGGCUCCGCUUGUGGCGGAGGUGCCUUCUUGCGCUCGGGACUCUUGGGGAGCCAACCCGAACUUGGUGGCGGUGGAGCACCAUACUCUGCCGGCGGCGAUGUCACUCCCUUGAUGGCGGGUGCCGGAGGCGGCGCCAUCUUGGCCGGUGACUCUGGGCUGCUUGGUGUCGGCGACGGUGUUGGUUCCUCGGGUGGUUCCUCAGGUGACUCCUCCUCUGGAGGUGGCGGGCCGUGCGACGUCGGGGUGGAAGGCGCGGCCGGUGGUUCCUCGUAAGCCGGCGAUUUCUCCGGCGGCCCCACCGGCACCGGGAUGAGCGGCGGCUUCUCCGGCGGCUCCGACGGCUUCCCGGGCGUCGGGUGUCCGGGGCAGACGUGCUUGCUGCAGUCGACGGGGCGGGCGAGCACGGGGGCGCACUGCAGCGUCGUCUUCUGCGCCGGUCGGAGCGCGCCGAGGCAGUUGUCCUUGUCGUCGAGGUUGACCUUGCUGCUCUCCGACGGCAUGCACGGCGCCGACUCGGAGUUGAAGAAGUUGUAGGCGAAGCUGAAGUUGACGAGCACGGGGAGCUCGCAGAUGGACUCGUGGACGAUGCCGGUGAAGACGUUCCUGGACACGUCCAGCUGCUCCAGCUUGCUGCAGUUGGAGAGCGAGGUGGGCAGCGUGCCGACGAGGACGUUGCCGCUGAUGUCGAUGACGUAGGUGUUCUGCAGGUAGCCCAUCUCCAUGGGCACGCAGCCGUCGAGCUUGUUGUUCAUGAAGCUGAUCUCGUCGAGCGUUUUGGCCAUGCAGCCGAUGCUCUUGGGGAUGCAGCCGACGAAGGCGUUGUUGGCGAAGACGAUGACGGAGGCGGUGGAGUUGCCGAGGUUGCCCGGGAUGUAGCCGACGAAUCGGUUGCUGUUGACGAAGAUGGCGUCGAGCUCCUUGUCGAACAGCGCCGGCGGCAGCUCGCCCUCGAAGUCGUUGAAGCGGAUGUCGAGGUACUUGAGCACGGCCAUCUCGAGGCAGACGUGGGGGAAGACGCCGACGAAGCGGUUGUGGCUGACGUCGAACUCGUGCAGCAGCGACAGCCUCGACAUGCUCUUGGGGAUGAUGCCGCAGAAGCGGUUGGUGUUGAUGUGGAAGAAGGCGAGGUCGGUGAGGAGGCCGAGCUCCGGCGGGAGGUACCCGGCGAUGUCGGCGCCGUUGAGGUCGAUGCCGGCGACCACCAUGAUCUUGGGGUCGUCGAUGGCGGCGUAGCAGAUGACGCCGUUGUAGGAGCACACGUCGUUGCCCGUCCAGUUGUUGGUGUACCCCUUGGGGUCCGAGUAGAACGCGCGCCGCCACGCCUGGAGCGCGAUGUACGCCUUGCGGAGCCGCGGGUUCGGGAAGUCGCCGACGGCGACUCCGACGCGGUCGUCGAAGUCGAAGUCAUCGGACGGCAGGUCGCCCUCCUCGCUCACGCCGGCCUCCUUCAUCGCCAGCAGCUGCCGGUGCGCGAUGUACGACACCUCGGCGCUGGUCACCGCGCCGACGUUGGCGGCGGAGGAGAGGCAGGCGGCGAGGACGGCGAGAAUCAGUGCCAUGGCGGCGCGGCGCCCGCCGGGGGCGAGGAGGAGCCGGAGGUCCAUGGCGAAGGUGGUGGGGUGUGGGUCGAUGGAAUGGAGAGGCGUGGAGAUGGUGGAUAUAUGGGCGAGCCCCCUGCCCCGCCAUGGGCGACGAUGGGUGGUGGCCGGCGACGCCGCGCGCUGCGGGCGCGGGUGUCGCGUCGCGUCGCGUUGGCUUGGCUUCGGUUGGCUCCGCUGUUUUGGCGCGAGGUAGGAGAAGCUGUCUCUCUGGUUUGUUUGACCAUCUCAUAUUUACUAUUUUUACUGCUAUGUGUUUUUCUCAAUCUCUCUCUCUCUUUUUCUUCUAAUUACAAAUCGAGCUGAUUGAUAAAUACAGUUCUAACUUCCUACUAUUGAUACCAAGAAGAUUAUGUGUGUCUGUUCUACUUACUAGUAUACUACUGCUCACCUCUGUUUUUUUUUUAACAUUUUCACGGGAUAAGUCAACUGUUAAUUGGUUGUUUUUAAAUAAUGGAUUAUCCGGCCUUUACUGGAUGCUAAUUGCAUGAUAAUUUGCUUAUACUUUAGCCAGGGAUGAAAAUGGCCACGAAAAUGCCAGAUCGAUCCAACGGGGUUUGAGCAUGGCUGUUACCGUUUCCAACUGUUUCCGUUUGUAGACAUAUAUAAAUUUUGUUUUUUCUGUAAUUUUUUUCAACGUCGAAUUAGCGUUGUUACUAAAUAAUUAAAUUGAUAAACAUGGUUAGCUCUCGUCCCACCAUGAAUCGUUUUCAAAGAGAUGUUACCAACUCCGACCAUUUUUUCCCUAUUUUUAGCCGCAUGGUCGAUUACAUCAACUCAAAUACAAUUCUAAUAAUAACUUCCUACAAAUAUGUUUUUCUCCAAAGAUAGAUGUAUUUGCAAUAAACACAAAUCCUAUGACUUACUUUAUGUAAAUUGGAGGAUAACCAGAAGUGACAUUUGUCUCUCAGGAACCCAGGGCACAACACAAAUUAAAUUAGGCGAUCAUUUGGAUAUAAAUUGAAUGAGAACAGAGCAGCCAAUGGACUACUCAUGCUCAAGAAACCAAACAACCAACAUAAAUACAGAGUCGGACCAGAUCUAUCAUCACAUUCUACAUUUCUACAUGCACAUAGUGCUUGCCUAGCUUGCUGGGGCAACUGAAAACUUAGGGAAGAUGCAUGUUUUGGUGACUCAUGUAAGCAUCAUGUCUUGCAACCAUGGGCAAGAGAGGCAUCAGGAAUGCAGCUUCCCGGGUCAUCCUAUGCUGUAGUGCUGUCGUUAACGGUAGAGGUUUGGAAAACCGACGAUAUCUAACGGGAUAGCGGUAUGAAUGUGUUUGAUCCACCAUCACAUCACAUGAUCAUCGGUGAGCAUACAGCGAUGGCGGAGCUGGACCUUCUUGCACUAUUAGUUCCGGAGUCCUACCAUGAUCACGAUCUGUUAGUUUUCUUGACUUGACACUGGAUCGAAUGCUAGGCUGUUUUGCGGAAGCUAGAGGCAAAUCGAGAAAGAUUACUGCUGGGGGCCAGAUUGGUAAGAAAUGGCAAAUGAUAUCUUCAACUCGUAGUUUGGCUGGGGGACGGGAAUCAGAAGAUUGGGAGACUGAAGAUCAUACCUGAUGCUGGCUGUUUUUGGAUAAUCUGGGCGCGAGAUGAAGACAAAUGUCAUCCUGGUUAGCUUUUUGGCUGGGUUCAGUGAUCAAGACUAUAAGAGGGGUGGCCUGCAUCAGUAACUGUCUGUGUUCCUAUUGUCUGUCCAGACCCUCUAUGCCUAUCUCUCUCUCUUGCUGUAUUUUGUUUUUUUAGUGAUCUUUCUCCUUUCAUGUAAGAACUCUAUGAAUCAUUUCUGGUAAUGGAAACGGGGGCCAUGCAGCCCUUGAUAAAAAAAAAAGCAUAUGAUCACGAUCUGUGUGGUGAAAACUUCUGUUAUUGUCGCAAACAAGGGUUUGUGCUUUGUUAUCCUAACCACUAUAAAAUGGAAAGAAAUAUUUCUUUGGUUACUGCUAACCUAUUUGUUAUGCGGACGAUAGUGAUCGAUUGGUUAUAUGUCCAAUAUUCUCCCAAUUCCACAUGAUGUAUAUAGCAGGGAUUGCAAUUUCGGAAUGAAAAUUUUGCCCCCACCGACAAGCACAUAUCUUGCUCAAAUUUUUCGGACUUUUUUCCAUUCCUUUUUGAAUUUGGUCAAAUUUAUUCAAAUUCAUUUAAAAUUUGUCAAAUUUUCAAAUAAUUUCGGGAAAAAAACACCGAAAUUAUCGAAAGUUCAGUGCCCACUAAAAUUCUGAAAUUUUGCUGGAAAACUGAAGUGUAAACCCUAGUAUAUACUAUAUAGUUAAUUAGUAGCCAUUCUGAUUUGGGAAGGUACUUUAAGCAGUACCGAACAAAGUUUGUCUGAAUUGUACAUGGUUUUGAUGAUUUGGGAGGCACAAGUUUAUCCACAUGAUCAUAUCAUCCCAAAUACAAUUCUAACUUUCUAUGAUACAAAAUAAGAUUAUGUACACAGAUUGAUUUACUUACAAAAUAAAUCCUAAGAUUUACUCGAUAUAAAUUGGAGUAAUCAAAAGUGACAUGUCUGUCAUGACCCAGGACAAAUUAAAUUAGGGAUCGAUUGGAUAUAAAUAGGAGCAGAAGAGAGCAACCAAUGAAGUAUUCCACGCUCAAGAAAAUAAACAAAGCAACAGCCAAAUGUACAGAUGAGCAAGAUCAUCACAUUCAUGUAUAAUAUAAUACACGAACGAUGCUUCUUGCCUAACUAUAUAUGCAGACUCAUGUAGUGAGCAUUCGUUGCACUACCGUUGGCCUUGAGAGGCAUCCGGAAUACAACCUGCUGGGUCGCCCUAUGUUGUAGUGCAGUGAAUUUUGGAAAACGCUGAUGGAAUGAAGUUGAAGGAUCUAUGGAUGAGUGUGUGAUCCGUCCUGCGCUGGUCGUUACUUCCAGCAAACAUGGUAUGAUGACAGAUCCAUCCAUGAACUCUUGCCUUCCCUGUUCCAGAUAUCCUUUGAUACCGGCUACCAACAGGCAGGGUUUGUGUUUUGUCCUAAGCACUGGAAAACAGAAACAUAUGCUUGUACUAUCUGUCCAGCUAACCUGUUUGUGCCAACAAUUGUGAAAAUCUCCUAGCCUUUCCACAUGGGAACUGUACAUGCUUGUUCAUGUUCUGCAUGAUUUGGGAAGAAUAUCAAAUUCUAUUAAAUUACACCAUGGUUUUCCUUUCUUGAUAUGUGUGUUGAUGUGCCUACUGCCUAGUGCUAAUUGAUAUAGCAUGGUAUUUUCCAUAUAAAUUCAGAUUCAGGCUUUGCACCUUAACACUUUGGCAGUGUAGUUUUGGAGAGAGGACAUAUAAAUCAGAUAAAUAUGUUUCCUGUUAUCUUAAUGGAAACCUCUCUAUGAUCCAUAUAUGCUUAUCAUGCAUUCCAUCACCUUUUUUUUUCUUUGAGAACUACAUGCACAUCAACUGAGGGGUGAUUGAGAAUGUGAGGCAUCUGGAAUCCAGUUUUGUCAUAUUUGGUCCUAAGCACUGCUUGCUCGAUGUGAGGCUGCAUGCAUACUGGUAUGGUAUGUCUAUUAGACCACUCUGCUUCGACUCGGCCAGCAGAGGAAUGGGGACAUCUGAGACAACUAAAAACAGGGAAAUAUCUUUUGGAAUCGUCCAGCGUUUGAGCUAGUGUAAGGUCGAGGAGUUUAGCUUACUUUUCUUUUUAGCCAUUUGAAAGAACUAGGCGUUUGCAUGACGGAUAUUUGUUAAGCAGAAAACUUCCGACCUUCCGAUCUUUUUUUUAAGAUAAUGGAUAAAAUCGAUCCGGUCUUUACUUUAGCAAAAGUUAUAAUUACAUACCCUCUCUGUCCAAAAAAAAAUCAACUUAUAUGAAUAUAGGUCACAUCUCCUUCUAUGUUGAUUUUUUUUUGAUAGAGAGCGUACUACAUAAUUCUUGGCUAAAAACCAAGUAUAACAAUUUCUAACAAUGGAUAAAGAGACGACACGAUAAUAAACCAUAUUUUAACAUAAAGUGGGGUUUUCACUUUUUCUUUAAGAAAAGGAUGGGUUUUCAAAGAAUAGCAUUAUAGACGCAGCAUCAUCUAUCAUGGUGGAAAUUAAUUCUCUCAGUCGCCUCAUUAACUAUACAUUGGGGUUAAUCAACUAAUCUAUACCUAAAAAAAUACAUAAGGUUUCCGGUAUUUUUUUCGUCCGUCACUUUUUUCGCUAUUUUUUUCUUCCUUUCGUCCGUCACUUUUUCCGCUGUUUUUUUUCUUUUUUUCGUCGUUUUUUUUUUCUUUUUUUCUUCUGUCUGCCCUUUUCUUUUUUCUUUUUUUUCCCAUCCGCCUUUUCUCUUCUGUCUUUUUUUUUCGCCCUUUUUUCGUCUUUUUUUAGUUGCAUUUUUUCCCACGCCACGCGUUAGGGAUUCGUUUUUUUAUGUGGCCGGUUUUCUUAGUCGGGCCGAACUCGCGCUGUAGCUAUAUACCUCCUUAUGCGUGAUCAGUUCCAACAUUGUCGUGUCUUUCAUAGAUUGAAGACGGCUGGGCCUACAGUUUCACUUAUGAGCUAGGUCAAAGAGAGGCAAGCCAAGUAGACACUUGUGGACUAGCAAACACUUGUGGACUAGGUUAAAGAGAGGCAGGCCAAGCAGAUGGAUGCAGUGGGCUGGGCUAGGACUGAAAGUAUGCGAUCCAAAAAUUGCUUUUAUCUAUUGCAACGCACGGACAUUUUUUCUAGUCUCGAUUGAAUUAACGAAGAACAAUUUGUAGUAUUACGCGUCUUUGUACUGUUUAGGAUAGUAGACAAUAUGCUACAAGUGAAAUCAAGAACAUAUCCGCAGUAGGCCAUAAAAUUUACUUAAUUGGUCUGGUCCUUUACAUCAGUAUCUAAAAACAACAAAGUGAUGCUAGCUACUACACUCUGCACCGUGCCAAUUAAUUUUGCUCCUGAUCGAAUAACAAUAACUCAAUCCAUGUGCUCUUCAUAAUCCAUGCAUAUAUAUACCGAGAACCAUCAGAAGCCAUGACACAUGAUGUAACCAUCACACACUGCAUAUAAGUUGAGGCAUUGCAACUUAAUUAGCAAUUUAUUGGCAGUGUAGUUUGGAGAGAUGGCAGAUCACAUAGACAUAUAUAUGGUUUCUUUGGGAGGAGCUUGUUUACUGCAAUCCUAGUAGAGACCAAAUUAACGAGUAGUACUAAUCAAGGUAAUCAUGCAUGAAAACCUUGGGGGCAAUUGAGCAUGUGGGGCAUCUGCAAUCCAGUUUUGUCGACACUGUCAUUAACAACUGUUUGAUGAUCGAUGUGAGCUUGAACCCCAGUAUCAAUGCGUGGUUAUUUUGUGCUACAUAAAACCCCCACAAAUAUGAAACAGUGAUUGGAGAAUGAAAUUUGAACUAGUGUUAAAUUAAACCAGCUAUAUUUCAUAGGAAGUUGGGAUGUCUCGUACGUUUGUCUCAUAGAACACUAUGCUUCAGCAGGUUGGACAAGGGAAGAGUGGAGGAGACAUGCGGAUCCAGCUUAAAACGUUGAUACAUAUGUUGUCUGGAAUUUUGACCUUGGAAGGAAUUUAGCUCAAUUUUCUUUUAUCCGUUGAAAAGUGUGCUCUCGUUGGUAAUGAGUUUAUUGAUGGCACCUGAUAAUAUGCUGAUUUUAUUUGUUGGGAUGGUAAUCCAAGCUAAUCUUACUCUUAAUCAUCUUUCAAUAUAAGCUGUUUUUUUUUUAAAAAAAGAAAUGACGAAAUUUCAAAGAAAUAGCAUUAUAGUCGCAGAACACUUCGAUCAUAGUGACCAGUGAUCGAGUCAAAUAAACUUCUCCGGCCCACUUAAUUAACUAGAUAUGGGGUUAAUUACCCAAUCCAUAUUGAGUGAUGAAGAAAUUUAGGUACCAAGCAUUUUCUUUAGAACAAAUUAAACAUGAGUAUUAGCUAGAAUUAUUCUAGGAUAAAAAAACCCAUGCUAGUCCUUCGAGUUGCAACAAAAAAUAUGGGUCCCACAUGUCGAGAGAGGCCCAUCACAACCAUUGGUAGUGAUCUAUCUAGGCCCAAUUUACUUCCUCCGCGCAUAAGGUUUCCACAUAUUCCUCUCACACAUAAGGUGUCUAUGGGCCCAAACUUUUGGCCCUUUAUCGGGAGGGUCUAGAAAAGCCACUAACCUCGAGUGGGUCCAUAGUACCAGCAAGAAUUGAGUCGAUGCCAUUAGUAUGUUGUGAUCCAAUUUGAACUGUUCAUACUAGGCUCGGAAGCUUAAUUGGACCUAUCUACUCAAUAGGGAGGAUAGCCCGUCACAUACCUGGUGCAAAGGAUUGAAUAAAACUAGAGGGAAUAGAGCAACCAUGAAGUAUCCCGGUUCCCAGGAAACUAUAAUAUUAUAGACAUAUCGUGCAUUUUAGAUAUAGGUGGUUCAACUGACAUAAUUAUUUUAGCACCUUAAAUAUAAGAAGACAAUACACAAUAAAAGUAUAUAAUUGAUCAAAAGUGCAUCAUGAUAUACUCCCUCCGUUUCUAAAUAUUUGACACUGUUAACUUUUUAGCACAUGUUUGACCGUUUGUCUUAUUCAAAAACUUUUGUGAAAUAUUUAAAAAUAUACAUCUAUAUGUAUAUAUAUAAGUAUAUUUAACAAUGAAUCAAUUGAUAGGAAAAGAAUUAAUAAUUACUUAAAUUUUUUGAAUAAGACGAACGGUCAAGCAUAUUUAAAAAAGUCAACGGCAUCAAAUAUUUAGAAACGGGGGAGUAUUAAUAAGCAACGUGCUAAUUGACACUCGGGAUUUUUUUUAUUGUUUCUCUUUCUAAGAAUAUAUUUUUCUCUUUUACUUAUAUGGGUUUUUGGUUACGCAAUUUAUUUUUGGAUGGUCACAGGACCACAUGGACCACCCACUAGAUACGCCGAUCAGCCUAUGUAUAGCAACCAACAAGAGAACGUAGAGAUGGACAAGAUCAUGACAUUCAUAGAGCCAUAGAUACAUGCAUGUGGUGCUUCUUGCCUGGAGUAUGAGUGUAGCAGUAGCAUAGGGAUGUGUUUGGUGACUCAUGUAGCAGGCAACAUGUCUUGAAACCGUGGGCAUGAGAGGCAACAGGGAUCCAGCUAUGUGACUCAUCCUAUGGAGAGGCACAGUGAUUUGUCUUUAGAGUUUCGAAAAAAGAGAAUCCACUCAGUACUACUGAGUUUAUCGCACUUCUACAAUCUACCACUGAAACGGGCUAGCAGGAUUAAUGAGUGUGUAUUCUGUGUAUCGACAUCGUGAUCAACAACCAUGAACGAUGACAGAGUUGUACAUUUUUUCUCACCUUCUCUGCUGAUCUACAUGUCGCACCAAACUCAUAGUUUCUUAACUAAGCACUUUAAAACAUAACCAGUUAGUACUGCUUCUGUUUAAAUUAUUUGGCUACCGCUAACCUAUUCAUUGUACAAGUGAUCGAUGGUGAAUGAUUGAUUAUAUGUACAACUACGACUACCAGAAACUGAAAUUCUCCUGACGGUCGCUAAUCUUUUACUGACGUGUAUGCAUCCACCUAUCAGUUUUAGCCGUAAGAAGUAUUAGUACGUAGCUUAUGGGAUAUAUUUUCUAUUUAUGUACCCACAGUAAUUUGAUUGUGAUGUAGCUUUACGAUAAAAGUAAAAAAACAAAUUAGUUUGAACUAUAGUGCAUGUUUGUUGAUGUGUUGUGCCGUGUUCGGGAAGAAUGCCAUGCAUAUUCUCACUACGCUGGACCCUCCCACCAUUGACGGGCCCAUGUCAUCACCUUUGACGGAUUUAGCCCUCGUCAGAGAUUAGUGAUCACUGAUGACUGCACCUCACCUCUGACGGGUGAAAAGCCGUCAGUGGUGAUUAACACCUUUGACGGGCCACAUAGAAAUAGCCCGUCACAGGUGAGAAUCACUGUGACGGGUGACUCUUUCCAGCCCGUCAAAGGUGACAUAUACCUCUGACAGGUCUAAUUUAUCACCCGUCACAGGUGUGAAAAAUCAUCCAAAAAAAAAAAUUCAAAAGCCCUCAGCCCUCAGCCACCAGCCCCCAGCUCACGACAUGAAGCAAAAGAUGCAAGAUUCAUCUCAAGAUGCAAGACAACAACUUUGCAUUUUAUUGGCAGAUCUGAUAACAUCAGAGAAACAAUAUAGAUCACACAACUUAAGUAACAAUAUAUAUCACAGUAGUAAUGAUCUGCAUCUUAACAAACUAGACAUCCACACAAACAACACAGAAUAUGGCCCAAUCUAAAAUUUGGCAAUGAACAUUUGCAAGAUAAGAAAAAUCAAGCACAACCUACAAGAGUCAGAAAUGGCGGUGGCGCUCGUGGGUGAAGGAGACGGUGGAGGACGCCGAUGGUCGGGGGGAGAGGGCGUGGACACCGGCGGUUGGGGGAUGGAGGCUGCGGUAGCCAGAUCCACGUACCAGAACCCCGUGGAGGCCGGAUCCAGUGGCGGCUGUUGGGUGGGCGUUGGAAGGCGACGCGGGCGGAUCCGAGGUUUGUGGGCGUAGAAGCUGGUGGCGCCGUCGAUGGAGGCGGUCGCUCGUCGUCUUCAUCGCAGCCGCCGUCAACAUCGUCGUCGUCGUUGUCGCAGCUACCGCCACCAUGGCCGCUCGCUCCUGCCUGCCUAAGCCCGCCGCCGCCACUCCCGAGGGCGGAGACGGGCAGAUCUGCUGCCUCCCGAGCCACCGCCGCCUCCCCUCCCGUCGGAUCUGGCGGAGGGGAGGGCGCCACCGCUGCCGCCGUCGGGCCGCCACCGCCUCCCUUCCCUCAGUCGGGCCUCCAGAUCUGGCGGAGGGAAGGCGCUCCCACCAUCCACGCCGUUGCACCUCCACGCCGUCCGCCACCACCACGCCUCCCUUCCCGCGCCUCCCCUCUCGCCCCUGCCGGAUCUGACGGGAUGGCGCCGCCGCCCCUGCCAGGCAGGCGCCGGCGCCGCUGCUACACGCACAGAAAUGGAGAAAGGGAGAGAGAACUCGAGAGAAAUGGAGAAAGAGAGAGAGAAAACAACCUUAUCUCUUCUGAGUGUGGGCCCCGCCAGGAGAAGAAAUAUCUUCUCCAACUCGGCUUGGGAAGGUAGGUGACGGCUUCGAGUAUAUAUAGUGGGAUAACUCACCUCAAACGGUUUAGGGUUUGAACCCGUUUGAGGUGAGUAAACCUCACCUCUGACGGGCCAUCCGGUUGCAACUCGUCACAGGUAACUAGUCACCUGUGAUGGACCGGAAGUAGAAACCGUCAGAGGUGAGGAUUAACUCACUUUUGACGGGUUCCGUUUUCGACCCGUCACAGGUGACUAGUUACCUGUGAUGGGUCGCAGCUGAAUAGCUCACCGAUGACGGAAUCUUUUAGAACCCGUCAAAGGUGACCAUCAUCACUGACUACCACUUAUGCCCGUCACAGAUAUGUCGUCACAGGUGUGAGGAUCUGGUGUAGUGUCUAUUCAACUGCACAUGAUUUCCUUGUUUAGUUUGAUGAUUGGUGCUAAUUAAUCUGGUAUUCCAGAUCACAAAACUCCAUUCAAAAUAGAUAACUACCACUCUGUACCGUGGAUAUAUGCUCAUGAAGAAUCUCAAUCCAUGUGUCCUCCAUAAUUCAUAUAUAAAGAGAAUUGUCAGAAGCCAUUACAGUUGACAUGUGAUGUAGCCACCACAGUACCACACACUGCAUAUAAAUUCAGGCCCUAUUUAGAUUCCAACCUUUUGCUUCAAACUUUCAACUUUUCCGUCACAUUGAACUUUUCUACACACACAAACUUUCAACUUUUCCGUCACAUCGUUCCAAUUUCUUCAAAUUUCCAAUUUUGGCGUGGAAAUAAACGCAGCCUCAGGCAUUGCACCUUAGCACUUGGGCAGUGCAGUGAUGUUAUAUAUAUCACAGAGACAUAUGCACACCAUGGGGAAAAUUGAGAAUGUGAGGCGUCCGGAAUUCAGUAUUGUCAACGUUGGCCUUAAACAUUGUGAGCUUGAUGUGAGGUUGCAUAUGAAUUUUGGAUGUCUUGUUCAAGUCUAUUACAGCACUCCGCCUCAGGUAGAAGACAAGUGGAGACAUCUGAGAUGCAACAGUUUUAUUUUAGACCUCCUUUGGGACGUAGUAUUUGAAAAACACAAAAAUGGGAUAAAUGCACGAAUAUGAUGUCAUGCAUUAUUGCAUCCCAAAGGAAAAAAGUCCAGAGGCAUUUGCAAAACAUUUUUUUAACCCGAUAGGAAAAAACAUAGGAAUUCUAGAGACAACUAGGGGAAACCAUGAGUUAAGACCUAAUGUUAGUUUUCCUCCAAAACACCAUGAAAUAGCCCUUUUCAUAGGAAUUUUGAAGGAAUUUUUCAGAGCUAUAUAUUUCUUUGUUCUAAAAGGAUCAUAUAAGAAUUUUUUCCCUAGGAAUUAAAUCCUCUAGUUUUCCUUUGUUCCAAAGAAGUUCUUACCGUUAAAAAAAGUUAGGCACUUGAUGGUAUGCUGAGUAACUUGUUAAGCUGAUAACUCAACCGAUAAUCUUGUACUCUUAGCUUUCAGUACAAGGUCGGGCUUUUUUCUUUCUUUCUUUCUUUCUUUCUUUCUUUUUUUUAAUAGAUGAUUUAAAAGAAAAUUUGGGUGCACCAUAUAUUGAUCGUAGUGAAACUUCUCCCCACAACUUAGUUAACUAUAUCGGGGUUAAUUACUAGAGCAAUAUUGUGCUCUCUACUGAUAGUAUAAUACUACUAGUAGUAUUAAGGAUAAAUCAAUAAUUUACUAAUACAAUCGUUAGGGGUAACUUCGUUAUUUAUGUUUUUAAUUUUCCGGCUAGAUCGAUAUGUGGUUAUCCAUUGCACUGACAUCGCUCAUAUUCCAUCAAAAAGCCAAAAUAUAAGGAAAAAAGUUUAGUUCACUGCUAAACGAUGAUUAUACCCCCUCCACAU
rnacentral:lncRNA from 1 species